CCUACGGGAGUCAGCAGUGGGGAAUCUUGGUCAAUGGGCGCAAGCCUGACCCAGCAACGCCGCGUGAAGGAAGAAGGCUUUCGGGUUUUAAACUUCUUUUCUCAGGGACGAAGCAAGUGACGGUACCUGAGGAAUAAGCCACGGCUAACUACGUGCCAGCAGCCGCGGUAAUACGUAGGUGACAAGCGUUAUCCGGAGUUACUGGGUGUAAAGGGCGAGUAGGCGGGAAAGCAAGUCAGAUGUGAAAACCAUGGUCUCAACCUGUGGCCUGCAUUUGAAACUGUUUUUGUUGAGUACUGGUGAGGCAGACGGAAGUCCUAGGGUAGCGGUGAAAUGCGUAGAUAUUAGGAGGAACAACAGUGGCGAAGGCGGUCUGCUGGACAGCAACUGACGCUGAGGCGCGAAAGUGUGGGGAGCAAACAGGAUUAGAUACCCGUGUAGUC
rnacentral:rRNA from 1 species